AGAGUUUGAUCCUGGCUCAGGAUGAACGCUAGCUACAGGCUUAACACAUGCAAGUCGAGGGGCAGCAUGGUCUUAGCUUGCUAAGGCCGAUGGCGACCGGCGCACGGGUGAGUAACACGUAUCCAACCUGCCGUCUACUCUUGGACAGCCUUCUGAAAGGAAGAUUAAUACAAGAUGGCAUCAUGAGUCCGCAUGUUCACAUGAUUAAAGGUAUUCCGGUAGACGAUGGGGAUGCGUUCCAUUAGAUAGUAGGCGGGGUAACGGCCCACCUAGUCUUCGAUGGAUAGGGGUUCUGAGAGGAAGGUCCCCCACAUUGGAACUGAGACACGGUCCAAACUCCUACGGGAGGCAGCAGUGAGGAAUAUUGGUCAAUGGGCGAGAGCCUGAACCAGCCAAGUAGCGUGAAGGAUGACUGCCCUAUGGGUUGUAAACUUCUUUUAUAAAGGAAUAAAGUCGGGUAUGCAUACCCGUUUGCAUGUACUUUAUGAAUAAGGAUCGGCUAACUCCGUGCCAGCAGCCGCGGUAAUACGGAGGAUCCGAGCGUUAUCCGGAUUUAUUGGGUUUAAAGGGAGCGUAGAUGGAUGUUUAAGUCAGUUGUGAAAGUUUGCGGCUCAACCGUAAAAUUGCAGUUGAUACUGGAUAUCUUGAGUGCAGUUGAGGCAGGCGGAAUUCGUGGUGUAGCGGUGAAAUGCUUAGAUAUCACGAAGAACUCCGAUUGCGAAGGCAGCCUGCUAAGCUGCAACUGACAUUGAGGCUCGAAAGUGUGGGUAUCAAACAGGAUUAGAUACCCUGGUAGUCCACACGGUAAACGAUGAAUACUCGCUGUUUGCGAUAUACGGCAAGCGGCCAAGCGAAAGCGUUAAGUAUUCCACCUGGGGAGUACGCCGGCAACGGUGAAACUCAAAGGAAUUGACGGGGGCCCGCCAAGCGGAGGAACAUGUGGUUUAAUUCGAUGAUACCCGAGGAACCUUACCCGGGCUUAAAUUGCAAAUGAAUUACGGUGAAACCCUAAGCCGCAAGGAUCUUUUAAAGUGCUGCCAAGGUUGCUUCCACUCCUGCCCUGAGGGUUCCGCUUAAUUGCCUAACAAGCGCAACCCUUUGUUGCAGUUCAAACAAGGUCCCCUGAAGACUUUACAAAUCGCUCGAAAAUGGAAAAAAAGGGGGGGAAAACUAAAAUAAACACGGCUUAUCUCCGGGGUCACCCUGUUAAAAGGGGGGGAAAAGGGCCGCUACCACGCGAGUGGAUGCCAAUCCCAAAAACCUCUCUCAGUUCGGACUGGAGUCUGCAACCCGACUCCACGAAGCUGGAUUCGCUAGUAAUCGCGCAUCAGCCACGGCGCGGUGAAUACGUUCCCGGGCCUUGCACACACCGCCCGUC
rnacentral:rRNA from 1 species